rnacentral:rRNA from 1 species
UACGGAGGUGGCAAGCGUUGUUCGGAAUUACUGGGCGUAAAGGGCGCGUAGGCGGCUUUUCAAGUCGGGCGUGAAAUCUCCGGGCUUAACCCGGAAGGGUCGUUCGAUACUGUUGAGCUAGAGUGUGGAAGAGGCAACUAGAAUUCCGUGUGUAGCGGUGAAAUGCGUAGAUAUACGGAGGAAUACCUGAGGCGAAGGCGGGUUGCUGGGCCAACACUGACGCUGAGGCGCGAAAGCCAGGGGAGCAAACGGG